UUUGGGAUUUUGUCUCAAGAGGUCUGUUCCUUACACAAUCGUCUGAUCCCUUUUUAAUUGUUAGCAACAACCCACGCGAAACAACUGGUUUUGCGCUUCUCUACAAUAUGUACAACUGAGAUUUCUUUCGUCCUUCCAGUACAACUUGGACACUCCUUCGGACUUUCAAGACUCCACCUCCACCAGAGAAAUUAUACCCUUUUGCAUCCACGUACUCAACGAGAUGAGAUUCCUUUUCAGGUCUGGAAUAAUCAAUUGUUCUGACCAUCCUAUCCUGCAACCUUAAUCUAACUCGAUCGAUUCCAGCAACACGGCAAGACUGGUUGUUUUCUAUCACAACUCCACCUUACUUGACAGCCUCAUAUGUCUGAAAAAAAAUUUCAGUUGGAACACAUAUGAUACGGACAUGCCAAAUUGAGAUUCCACUCAUCGUCAGGUUUAGACCCCAAGUUAGAUACCACGGUCAACAUCAUAUCACCGCCAUUUGAAAAAUCCUUAGCAACAUUAGUCUCGUCCGAAUUGCGUGAUUGUCCCCUAUGAUUUGUAGCUAAAUUACCUUUAGCUUGCAACUUAUCGCAAUCUUUCUUAACAUGUC
rnacentral:lncRNA from 1 species